UACGUAGGGUGCAAGCGUUAAUCGGAAUUACUGGGCGUAAAGCGUGCGCAGGCGGUUUUGUAAGUCUGUCGUGAAAUCCCCCGGGCUCAACCUGGGAAUUGCGAUGGAGACUGCAAGGCUAGAAUCUGGCAGAGGGGGGGUAGAAUUCCACGUGUAGCAGUGAAAUGCGUAGAGAUGUGGAGGAACACCGAUGGCGAAGGCAGCCCCCCUGGGUCAAGAUUGACGCUCAUGCACGAAAGCGUGGGGAGCAAACGAG
rnacentral:rRNA from 1 species